AGUGAACGCUGGCGGUAGGCCUAACACAUGCAAGUCGAACGGCAGCACAGGAGAGCUUGCUCUCUGGGUGGCGAGUGGCGGACGGGUGAGGAAUACAUCGGAAUCUACUCUGUCGUGGGGGAUAACGUAGGGAAACUUACGCUAAUACCGCAUACGACCUACGGGUGAAAGCAGGGGGACCUUCGGGCCUUGCGCGAUUGAAUGAGCCGAUGUCGGAUUAGCUAGUUGGCGGGGUAAAGGCCCACCAAGGCGACGAUCCGUAGCUGGUCUGAGAGGAUGAUCAGCCACACUGGAACUGAGACACGGUCCAG
rnacentral:rRNA from 1 species